rnacentral:lncRNA from 10 species
CAGGGAUUGGGGUGGGGUGCAAGCGUGAGGGUCUCUGGGGAAGGGAGACUGUAAACACUUCCAUUUUAGCACUGAAAUCCCUGAAGUCUCUUCCCUCUGGCUGGUUGGUUCAGCCAGAAUAAACUUUCUUUUGGGGUGAGCAGCUUGGCUGGCUUUUCAAGACUCAGUUCAGACAUCUUUGCCGCCCGUCUUCCAGCUUCUUGGCAAGGACAGAGGACCCUGCUGAGAGGGCUUCAGGAAUGGCCAAAGACUGAGACGGUGCAGCCUCAGCCACGCCCAGAAAGAACUUGGAUAAGUCUGUCUUGCUGUUUUUCCAGUUUUUGUUUGCACCUCACAGGAAGAACUGGUCCGCCUUCAUUCCUAGCCCCACCAAACUGACAGGUUAGACUGACUCAGGGACCAUCCCCUUUGUCAGGCAGUUCCCUCACUUGCUGGACUGACCGUGGUUCUGCAGUGUGGUUGGGGCCCCUGCAUAACACUUUAGCCAACAACUACAUUAGAGAACUCUUUGUCUAGACUAAAGCCACAUUUCCCAAAGUCGUCAGAUUAAAGACAUCACCUGGAAGUUCUGAUUGGGUCGGUCUGGGGAUGCCCUGAAAUCGACUUCUGAAGCGCGCCAGAUGAUUUAUAAAAUAGCUCAGUAAAAACCAAGCUCAGCCGGGCACAGUGGCUCACGCCUGUAAUCCCAGCACUUUCAGGGGCCAAGGUGGCUGGGUCACUUAGGCCCAGGAGUUCAAGACCAGCCUGACCAACAUGGUGAAACCCCG